GUAGAAAAUGUAUCAACAGCUGUCUCUCCCAUCUGUCUAUGGGAGAUAAUCUAAUCCUGUGUGGGGUCAUGUGAAAAGGUCACUUCCUGUGUUGAGGGGAGGCAGAAUAAACAAACCUUCAGGGGCCUCCUAUUACUUAUCGAGUGGUAACAGAUGGGCUCUGGAAUGUGUACGUCUCGGCGAUGUGUAUAAGAAGAGACGAGUCGACGAAGAAGGCAGCAUUAAGUCAGAAACUUCUCAUAAGGAGGGUUCAGACUUUGCUCCACUCAGCUGGGUGUUUCCAUGACUUGUUUGAUGUGAUUACUUAUUUGUUCCAUGACUUAUUUGUCUAGUUGAAUCACUUGUCCACUUGUUUGUACCUGGCUCACAUUCUGAUCAUUUGUGAACUUGUUACUAUAUAAUAAAGUGUGAUAAGACCACCGUGUUUAGAAUACUUUUGAUUUCUCACAAGGCAUCGGAACAUUUAUUCCACCACAAAUGGCGACGAGGAUGCGAUGGACGCGCUUGACGGGGACUCCGGCUGAACGGCAGAUGGCCAUAAUAUAGAUGAAUCCUCCCCCGAGGGUGAGAAGCUGCCGUUCAGACGGAGACCGGACGGCCGAUCCAAUCUAGUUGAAGUAACAACGAAAAACACGCGGUGAGAGAUUAAGAUUAUUUUGAGAUCAAUCAAGUCAUGAAAAUGGAAAUUGGAAAUUUUUAAAAGAAAAAUCUCACAAUCAGAUGUUGUUAACAGACGUGUUUUGAAAACUGUUGGGUUCUCUAGUGGUUUGUAGGCACCAAUUUGGCGCACACUUCUCAGGGAAAACAGUUAGCAGUUUUUAGAGAUAGCAGCGGUCGCUUACUUGCCUUAGUCAUCCAUGUGUAUUGUUUGAAAUUUUGUAUAGAAAAUUUAUUGACGCACACUGCGACAUAAUACACGAAUGAUUAGAGAUGUGUAGUGCUCAGAGUAAGAGUGAGACCGUUGAGAGCCAUGUGGUCCCCAUCCUUCCGCCUCUGUGUAAGUUUAUGUCUGAUCGAUAUCCUGGAAGCUGGGAUCAAAUGCAAAAGUGGAUAGAGAUUGGUUUUCCAUCAAACGGAAGUUUGAGUGAAAAUCAAUUACAACAGUUGGAGGUAUCACUGGGGGAAAUGGAGAGGAACGCAACAGCUCAGCAUGCAGCCUUAUCAAAAAAAAAAAAAAAAAAAAACUUACGAAGAAUGUUAACAAGUGUCAUUGCAUUCACCCAAAUACUGUGUAUUGUUGUCUUUCUGAGAUACUGAGAGAAUCGGUGGCUCCAGACCUGGAUUCCGCCCCCCCCCCUUUUGCUCCGCCAGCCUGCUUGCAGCAGCCUUCUCAGUCAAAUGCAGCUUCACCGGACACAGUCCAAGAGGGACACAGACUCUGGAACAAUGCAAAGACCAUCUGAAAGAGCGUUUCGUGAGCGGGACGAGACCAAACUCCUGCAGAUGGUGAGAAAAUCAUAUGUUCCACUAACAGAUGUCCUAAAGCACGCUGAACAUGCUAAGGCGGAGUUGCACAGAAAAGAGAUGCUUGCAAUGAUCAACACGCUCGCAAGGCAACUACGGAAUAUUCCCACAUGGCAACUUGGGAGGACAAGAGGUCGAGGCAGAGGCAGAAUGGAUCUGAAGAUAUGAUUCAAGAGUGUGCUACAACUGCGGAGGGCAUGGACACUGGCGAACAGAGUGUCCGGAGCCCAAAAAGGAAGACCCGCUUUCGACACGGCUGAGCGGAGGGAGGCGGGGGAGGGGCGGAUCCCAGAGACGGACAACCCUCUCCAGGACAAACAAGGGAAACUGUUCCUUGGAACCACUCCUCACGUAUCAUUGGCUAAACCGUCACACUGGAAAUGGCAGGAUCUGGGUCCGUGGCUACAACAACGUAUCAACCUCUUGGACUUUAGACCAGCUGCAGAAGAUUCGAGGAUCGAAUUUAGCGCGAUUGGUGAUGUAUUUCGUAUUGCAUUGACCGACACAGUACAUGUACGGAGAACGUUAGAGCUCACAGAAGAACACAUUGAACAUACAAGCUUGUAUCCACUCAUUAUGACAACAGGUCAAAUUCCUGAGUUGUCAAAAGUGCCACCUUCACUGUGGGCUGCACACAAAUACGAUGUGGGGCUCAUAAAAGGCGCAGCACCAUUGGUAGUGAGUCCUAAAUCAGAUUAUAGGCCAUGCCUAAAACAGUAUCCAAAAAAAAAAAAAAAAAGAAGCCAUCGAUGGUAUAAGACCAGUUUUUGAAUCCCUUUUAAAAGAGAGGCAUCCCUCUCAUCCAUGGUCCAUGGUAGAAACCUUAGUGCACAUGACUGACUGACUUAGACUAUAAAAGCAAAAGACAGAAGAGAACUUAAAGACUUCCUUACUACAGGCCCGACCGGGGCCUGCCGAGACCAAACUUGAUAUGUAUUUUAUACAUAGACCGAAAUGACUGUUACAUGAACUCCAGUUGUGUCAGCCUCAUGGAGGAAAACUUAGGCCUGUGUCCGACUUCUCCUCGACACAUGACUUGUUGUCACAGGUCUUCCUCUCUGUUGCAGCAGCUGGAGAAGCCAUGGAUUAACAUCACGGGACAUUGUGGGCUAUUCUGAUGUCACACUUAUAGUCCCGCAUGCAGUUUCCCACAUCUUCCAUGCCAGAAGACUUCUCACCUCUCUGCUCAGAGAUGGUUCAGAUAUCAUGUUGGAAUAGCGUGACAUUACGGUAAAACGCUGCGAUGAACUUAACUCAACUACACUUCUUCCGACUGCAGAUGAUGGAGAGCCUCAUGAUCGUGUCCAGGUAUUGCAACAGACAUGCAUCCCGAGACCUGAUCUGUUGGACACACCUCCUUCCAAUGCAGAUUCAAGCUAUCUGUAGCUAUCCAGCUCACCCACAACGGGGCAGCGGUCAGGUUGUAUGUUACAUCACACACUUGUUGGUGUCAGGCUUACUGCACACCGAUCAGUACAAGCAGCAGAGCUGAUUGCACUCACAGGGGAAUGUAAGGUAGCUAAAAAGGUAAAACUAACAAUUACACAGGUUCACUUCAUGUAUCUGGAACGUACAUGACCUUGGGCCUCUGUGGAAGACACAGAGGAUUUCUAACAGUGGCAAACCUAUCACACCACACGGUGGGGUUCAGCUGUUUUCAGUCGUUAAAUGGGAAGCUCACAUCUCUUCUUUUGACCUGUGUCAAUAGUAAACAUAGUGGCAGAUCUGGUGGCAAAGGCGGCAGCCUUAUCAGGCACCCCUUUUCCCCACAUAGACUGAUUCCAGUCCUUAGGCAGAUCUUUCCACAAUUCAUUCUUUUGCCAAUGCCCAGGAGCGCUCCCUAUGGAACGCUCUGGUGCCACUCUUUGAGUCGAGGGUUUGACAGCCCAGACGGCAAGCCUUGUUUGCCACGCGCUCUCUUCCAUACUUCUGGAUUUUCUCAUGGAGGAGACCACGUGGGCAAAGGGGGAAUGGGUAAUGCUCUAAAUGCAAGUUCAUACACCAGAGCAUUUUCAACAUUUGCAAUAAAUAACAACAGCAGGGUCACCGCCCUGCAGAUACACUUUGUGAACAGUUAGUAAUGUAUUUUAAAUCUCACAGUAUUUAGGUUUUAACAUCAGACAUCAUUGUUCUUAUCAUCCUCAGUCAGCUGGUGCGGUUGAACGAGAAAAUGGUACCAUUAAAUCUAAACUGGCGAAAUGUUGUGAAGAGACAGGCCUAUCUUGGGUGAAAGCACUUCCGCUGGUGCUUUUUCACAUGCGCAUGCGAAUCAGGAACAAACAUGGCCUCAGCCCUUUUGAGAUAGUGCUCGGGAGACCCCCUUGCACUGGGCUGGGUCCAGUAAGACAUGCUUGACGACUGAUCAUAAUGAAGACAGCAUGCUAAGAUAUUGUGCUAAUCUCUCAUCCUCACUCUCAGCACUUCACACACAGGUGAAAGCUGCACUUCCCUCACCAGCCACUGCGAUCCAGCAUCACCUGAAACCAGGAGACUGGGUGCUCAUCAAGGAUCACAGGAGAAAGCAUUGGAAGCAGAGACGCUACAUGGGUCCCUUCCAAGUACUCCUGACCACAGAGACGGCGGUGAAAGUGGAAGGAAAAGCAACGUGGGUCCACGCCAGCCACUGAAAACGCAUCCCAAACCCAGAGGGAGAAGGAGCAGCUGCUACGGGUCCGGACUAAAGGGGAAGGGUGAGAAAAGCGAGCGCCUUCCUCCAUCAAGUAGUGUGCCAAGCUACCGACAAGCGCACCAUUAGCAGUGACGUAACCAAGCACCUCACUCAUUUUAUGUGGCUGGGAAGAGAGAGGAGGGGAGCAAGCCCGUAGUUUCUCAAACCGCAAAGCUGUCAUAUAUAAAUCAGUGUGGUAGGAGGCGAAAUCAUGUGCGAAGGUGUAGCCACCCAAGAAGCAGCAGCGAUGGAAGAAAGAUCUCCAGCAUCACGACCCCCCUUUAAGAAGCAUGGGUGCAGCCAGAGCAAAAGCAUCCACUCACUACUCUUUCUAACCAAAAUAGCAAUUAUCUUGUUCCUUAUCUAUAAAUUGCAAUCACAUAACAUAGACGGCAAAGAUACUAGCCCUUUCCAUCUCUCCAGGAAGUGGCAGGAAGGGAAAAAAGUUUUCCACUGCCCAGCUGAACAAUGUGAUGCGAACAAUUGUUCACUCUCCUCAAUAGAGAAUGAUACUUGGGUUAAUGUUGAGGACAAUGUUUAAGCAAGCAAUGUAUUUACACAGUAGAUUUAGCAAACCAUAAUCAAUUUUGUAUGUACUUCGUUGAGGUUGAUGAUGUGAUGUUUUGAAAUCUUUGUGAAUCUACACCACGGAUGUAUGCUCUAAGAAUGUUUUAACAUUUUGUUACUAUUUUUUUUCAGUUAAAUUGUCAAAAAUGACAAAAAGAGGGGAUUGUUGGAGUAGAAAAUGUAUCAACAGCUGUCUCUCCCAUCUGUCUAUGGGAGAUAAUCUAAUCCUGUGUGGGGUCAUGUGAAAAGGUCACUUCCUGUGUUGAGGGGAGGCAGAAUAAACAAACCUUCAGGGGUCUCCUAUUACUUAUCGAGUGGUAACAGAUGGGCUCUGGAAUGUGUACGUCUCGGCGAUGUGUAUAAGAAGAGACGAGUCGACGAAGAAGGCAGCAUUAAGUCAGAAACUUCUCAUAAGGAGGGUUCAGACUUUGCUCCACUCAGCUGGGUGUUUCCAUGACUUGUUUGAUGUGAUUACUUAUUUGUUCCAUGACUUAUUUGUCUAGUUGAAUCACUUGUCCACUUGUUUGUACCUGGCUCACAUUCUGAUCAUUUGUGAACUUGUUACUAUAUAAUAAAGUGUGAUAAGACCA